rnacentral:misc_RNA from 1 species
GAUGAAGAACGUAGCGAAAUGCGAUACUUGGUGUGAAUUGCAGAAUCCCGUGAACCAUCGAGUCUUUGAACGCAAGUUGCGCCCGAAGCCUCGGCUAAGGGCACGUCUGCCUGGGCGUCACGCAUCGCGUCUCCCCCAAACCGCCAAGGCGGAGGGGAAGGAAGAUGGCUUCCCGUGCCUCACCCGGGCGCGGUUGGCCUAAAUUUGGAGCCCGCGGCACUUAGCUCUCGCGGCGAUAGGUGGUGAACAAGGCCUUGGCCGUGCAAACAACCCGCUGUGAAUCUCUAUGUCACGUGCGCUCGUCGGACCCUUUGAAGUUGCCUUUGGUGACUUAAAACCUUUGCGACCCCAGGUCAGGCGGGGCUACCCGCUGAAUUUAAGCAUAUCAAUAAGCGGAGGA